rnacentral:tRNA from 1 species
GCCGGGGUGGUGGAAUGGUAGACACAAGGGACUUAAAAUCCCUCGACCACAAGGUCGUGCGAGUUCGAAUCUCGCCCCCGGCACCA